GUGGAUGGCACUUUCGUCCUCAGCUGUGUGGCCACAGGCAGUCCAGUGCCCACCAUUCUGUGGAGAAAGGAUGGAGUCCUCGUUUCAACCCAAGACUCUCGAAUCAAACAGUUGGAGAAUGGAGUACUGCAGAUCCGAUAUGCUAAGCUGGGUGAUACUGGUCGGUACACCUGCAUUGCAUCAACCCCCAGUGGUGAAGCAACAUGGAGUGCUUACAUUGAAGUUCAAGGUAAAGUAAAUGAAUUUGGAGUUCCAGUUCAGCCUCCAAGACCUACUGACCCAAAUUUAAUCCCUAGUGCCCCAUCAAAACCUGAAGUGACAGAUGUCAGCAGAAAUACAGUCACAUUAUCGUGGCAACCAAAUUUGAAUUCAGGAGCAACUCCAACAUCUUAUAUUAUAGAAGCCUUCAGCCAUGCAUCUGGUAGCAGCUGGCAGACCGUAGCAGAGAAUGUGAAAACAGAAACAUCUGCCAUUAAAGGACUCAAACCUAAUGCAAUUUACCUUUUCCUUGUGAGGGCAGCUAAUGCAUAUGGAAUUAGUGAUCCAAGCCAAAUAUCAGAUCCAGUGAAAACACAAG
rnacentral:lncRNA from 1 species